rnacentral:rRNA from 1 species
UACAGAGGUCCCAAGCGUUGUUCGGAUUCACUGGGCGUAAAGGGUGCGUAGGUGGUCGGGUAAGUCUGAUGUGAAAUCUCCGAGCUUAACUCGGAAACUGCAUCGGAUACUAUUCGGCUCGAGGGUUGGAGGGGGGACUGGAAUACUUGGUGUAGCAGUGAAAUGCGUAGAUAUCAAGUGGAACACCAGUGGCGAAGGCGGCAUCCUGGACCGGUAUUGACGCUGAGGCGCGAAAGCCAGGGGAGCAAACGGG